rnacentral:rRNA from 1 species
GAUGAACGCUGGCGGCGUGCCUAAUACAUGCAAGUAGAACGCUGAAGGAGGAUCUUGCUCUUCUGGAUGAGUUGCGAACGGGUGAGUAACGCGUAAGCAACCUGCCUGGUAGCGGGGGCUAACUGUUAGAAACGAUAGCUAAUGCCGGAUGACAACAGUGAUUGGAUGAUAAUGGUAUAAAAGGGGCAACUGGUCCACUACCAGAUGGAACUGCGUUGUAUUGGGUAGUUGGUGGGGUAACGGCUUACCCAGGCGACGAUACAUAGCCGACCUGAGAGGGUGAUAGGCCACACUGGGAGUGAGACAGGGCCAAGACUCCUACGGGAGGCAGCAGUAGCGAAUCUGCGGCAAUGGACGGGAGUAUGGCCGAGCAGGGCGGAGUGAGUGAAGAAGGUUUCCGGUUCGUAAUGCUCUGUUGUGAGUGAAGAACGGGUGUGAGAGUGGAAGGUUCAUGCUGUGACGGUAUCUGAAGAAGAAGAAACGGCUAACUACGUG